GCAAGUCGAACGCGAAAUUUUUUCUUCGGAGAAAAGAGUAGAGUGGCGCACGGGUGAGUAACGCGUAAGUAAUCUACCCUGGCAUCUGGGAUAACCCACCGAAAGGUGUGCUAAUACCGGAUACGUUGGAAACAAGAAAGGUGGCCUCUAUUUAUAAGCUACUGUGCUGGGAGGAGCUUGCGUACCAUUAGCUAGUUGGUAGGGUAAUGGCCUACCAAGGCAACGAUGGUUAGCGGGUCUGAGAGGAUGAUC
rnacentral:rRNA from 1 species